UACGGAGGAUCCAAGCGUUAUCCGGAUUUAUUGGGUUUAAAGGGUGCGUAGGCGGGUUGAUAAGUCAGUGGUGAAAGUUUGCAGCUUAACUGUAAAAUUGCCGUUGAAACUGUCAAUCUUGAGUGCAAGUGAGGUAAGCGGAAUGUGUUGUGUAGCGGUGAAAUGCUUAGAUAUAACACAGAACACCGAUUGCGAAGGCAGCUUACUAAUAUGUAACUGACGCUGAGGCACGAAAGCGUGGGGAUCAAACAGGAUUAGAUACC
rnacentral:rRNA from 1 species